rnacentral:lncRNA from 10 species
ACAGUUUCACACCGGGAUGUGGGGGUGGUGGGGGUGGGAUUUGGAAAAGGCAGUGCUCCUCCCGGGAAGUGCUGAGCUUACUUGGGCUGGAGUAGAUGAUGGGAGAGGGAGGAGCAGACAGUGGAGGAGGCAUGGAAGGGUGAGGUCAAGCCGUGACACUCCUGAAACCGUCGGCUUGAGAGAGGAAACUUGAUUUAAACAUGACUGAAAUGUGCCCAGUGGUAAAGAAAAAUAGCUGGGCUGCAUUCGAGAGGCUGGAGCUGGCAGGGUUUCUUUGCUGGAGCACUGCUGCUAUGUCGGGCCGUAUUGCUGGUAUGUGAUAAGCUCCCCUCCUCUGAGUGAGAGGCAGGGAGCUCCGCUAAGGGCCCGAGAGACGCCCAGGUAUUCAGUGCUGAUCCUCUAACUGAGGGUGGGAGAAGUGAGGAUGAGAGGGAAGAAAGGGAAAGCCUUUUAAAGGGGUAGAAUGGUGGCCUCGUCAUCAGACGGGAGAGAGACAGGUUGGGGUUGCGGUGGGGUGUGGCAGGGAGAGAGAAGGAGCCCCCAGGCUGUUUCAGACAUGCUGAAUUUGAGGCACUGGCAGGACUCUGGGGAGGGAGGGUCAGCAGAGAGCCGGACAUGCCAAUCGGUAAUGCCGGCCCAGGACCCCACCUACUGCCUUGGCUGGACUCCCUGCACCACUUUC